UACGGGGGGGGCAAGCGUUGUUCGGAAUUACUGGGCGUAAAGGGCGUGUAGGUGGCCAACUAAGUCCGACGUGAAAUCCCCAGGCUUAACCUGGGAACUGCGUCGGAUACUGGAUGGCUUGAAUUCGGGAGAGGGAUGCAGAAUUCCAGGUGUAGCGGUGAAAUGCGUAGAUAUCUGGAGGAAUACCGGUGGCGAAGGCGGCAUCCUGGACCGAUAUUGACGCUGAUGCGCGAAAGCCAGGGGAGCAAACGGG
rnacentral:rRNA from 1 species